GAUGAACGCUAGCGGCAGGCUUAAUACAUGCAAGUCGAGGGGCAGCACAGGUAGCAAUACUGGGUGGCGACCGGCAAACGGGUGCGGAACACGUACACAACUUACCUUCUGGUGGGGGAUAGCCUUUGGAAACGGAGAUUAAUACCCCAUAUUAUAUAUGAGCUGCAUGGUUUGUAUAUUAAAGAUUUAUUGCCGGAAGAUGGGUGUGCGUAUGAUUAGGUAGUUGGCGGGGUAACGGCCCACCAAGCCGACGGUCAUUAACUGGUGUGAGAGCACGACCAGUCACACGGGCACUGAGACAUGGGCCCGACUCCUACGGGAGGCAGCAAUAAGGAAUAUUGGUCAAUGGACGGAAGUUUGAACCAGCCAUGCCGCGUGGAGGAUGAAGGUCCUCUGGAUUGUAAACUUCUUUUAUAGGGGGCGAAAAAAGGGAAUUCUUUCUCGUCUGACGGUGCCCUAUGAAUAAGCACCGGCUAACUCCGUGCCAGCCGCCGCCGUAAAAC
rnacentral:rRNA from 1 species